rnacentral:rRNA from 1 species
GGGAGCUUGCUCCCGGAUGUUAGCGGCGGACGGGUGAGUAACACGUGGGUAACCUGCCUGUAAGACUGGGAUAACUCCGGGAAACCGGAGCUAAUACCGGAUAGUUCCUUGAACCGCAUGGUUCAAGGAUGAAAGACGGUUUCGGCUGUCACUUACAGAUGGACCCGCGGCGCAUUAGCUAGUUGGUGAGGUAACGGCUCACCAAGGCGACGAUGCGUAGCCGACCUGAGAGGGUGAUCGGCCACACUGGGACUGAGACACGGCCCAGACUCCUACGGGAGGCAGCAGUAGGGAAUCUUCCGCAAUGGACGAAAGUCUGACGGAGCAACGCCGCGUGAGUGAUGAAGGUUUUCGGAUCGUAAAGCUCUGUUGUUAGGGAAGAACAAGUGCAAGAGUAACUGCUUGCACCUUGACGGUACCUAACCAGAAAGCCACGGCUAACUACGUGCCAGCAGCCGCGGUAAUACGUAGGUGGCAAGCGUUGUCCGGAAUUAUUGGGCGUAAAGGGCUCGC